rnacentral:rRNA from 1 species
UGAGCCAAGUUUAGGGUUUUCUCAAAACCCAAGCAGUAUUGAACUGAAGAGUUUGAUCAUGGCUCAGAUUGAACGCUGGCGGCAGGCCUAACACAUGCAAGUCGAGCGGAUGAAGGGAGCUUGCUCCUGGAUUCAGCGGCGGACGGGUGAGUAAUGCCUAGGAAUCUGCCUGGUA